CCUAAAACACUAAAAGCACAAAAGAAAGCCAAAAAGUGAGGUGCAAGAUUUUUUUAUUACUUGUCUGAAUCAACUUGUCAUCACUAGAAGCAAAGGACCAAUUUGACCAAUUUAAAAAGCAGCAAAAAGAAGGAGAAAUUUCUUUAAAUGAUGAUGAUAUCUUCGAAAAAGUAUUCGGGGCCGAAAAAAAUGGAUAUCUUCGCGCAUAUGGCCUCGGAAAAAAUAUCAGUCAAUAUUUUGGUGAUAAACCAACAAAAGUACAACUUAUAAAGCAACUAGAAUUGAUCAGAAAAGAGGCAAAUGAGCGUGUGAAAGAAGUUAGAAGGGAAGCUAAGGAACAAGUUGAAAAAAUCAAGAAAGAUAUAAAUAAUCAAUUAGUAGAAAUGAGUAAACAAUGGGAAGAAAAUUUUUGAAUUAUACUUGUAGCACAAGGUCUACAACAAAAUGAUACAGAUCUAACGCCUGUGGAGGAGUUAUAAAAGCAUCAAGGUCGACGGGCACAUGAAUAAUGUUUUUCCUCUUGUCAAAGCUUAUUGAUAUG